rnacentral:rRNA from 1 species
UACAGAGGGUGCGAGCGUUAAUCGGAAUUACUGGGCGUAAAGCGUGCGCAGGCGGUGAUGUAAGACAGUUGUGAAAUCCCCGGGCUCAACCUGGGAACUGCAUCUGUGACUGCAUCGCUGGAGUGCGGCAGAGGGGGAUGGAAUUCCGCGUGUAGCAGUGAAAUGCGUAGAUAUGCGGAGGAACACCGAUGGCGAAGGCAAUCCCCUGGGCCUGCACUGACGCUCAUGCACGAAAGCGUGGGGAGCAAACAGG